CCUAGAGUUAGGUGGGUGCCUUCGGCAAAAAAAGAGACAGGUGCCGCAUGGUUUUUUUCAGCCCCGUGUCUUGAGAUUUUGGGUUAUGUCCCCUAACGAGCGCACCCCUCUCCCUUAGUUAUCAGCACGUAAUGGUGGGCACUCUAAGGAGACUGCCGGUGACAAACCGGAGGAAGGUGGGGAUGACGUCAAGUCAUCAUGGCCCUUACGGCUUGGGCUACACACGUGCUACAAUGGUCGGUACAGAGGGUUGCCAAGCCGCGAGGUGGAGCUAAUCCCACAAAACCGAUCGUAGUCCGGAUCGCAGUCUGCAACUCGACUGCGUGAAGUCGGAAUCGCUAGUAAUCGCGAAUCAGAAUGUCGCGGUGAAUACGUUCCCGGGCCUUGUACACACCGCCCGUCACACCAUGGGAGUGGGUACCACCAGAAGUAGCUUAGUUAACCCUUAAGGAGGCACG
rnacentral:rRNA from 1 species